UACGUGGGGUGCAAGCGUUGUUCGGAAUUACUGGGCGUAAAGCGUGUGUAGGCGGCUCGUUAAGUCUGACGUGAAAUCCCUGGGCUUAACCCAGGAACUGCAUCGGAAACUAGCGAGCUUGAGUCCGGGAGAGGGUAGUGGAAUUCCUGGUGUAGAGGUGAAAUUCGUAGAUAUUCGCAAGAACACCAGUGGCGAAGGCGGCUCACUGGCCCGAUACUGACGCUGAGGCACGAAAGCGUGGGGAGCAAACAGG
rnacentral:rRNA from 1 species